AACGAACGCUGGCGGCAGGCCUAAUACAUGCAAGUCGAACGGUGUCUUCGGACAUAGUGGCGCACGGGUGCGUAACACGUAUGCAACCUACCUUACAUUGGGGGAUAGCCUUUCGAAAGGGAGAUUAAUACCGCAUAAGACAGUAGCUGGGCAUCCAGCAGCUGUUAAAGAUUUAUCGAUGUAAGCUGGGCAUGCGUCCAAUUAGCUAGUUGGUGAGGUAACGGCUCACCAAGGCAAUGAUGGUAGGGGAACUGAGAGGUCAAUCCCACACACUGGAACUGAGAUACGGGCCAGACUCCUACGGGAGGCAGCAGUAGGGAAUAUUGGGCAAUGGACGCAAGUCUGACCCAGCCAUGCCGCGUGCAGGAUGAAGGCGUUAUGCGUUGUAAACUGCUUUUAUACAGGAAGAAACGACUCUUGCGAGAGGCAUUGACGGUACUGUAUGAAUAAGCACCGGCUAACUCCGUGCCAGCAGCCGCAGUAAUAC
rnacentral:rRNA from 1 species